GACGAACGCUGGCGGCGUGCUUAACACAUGCAAGUCACGGUGAAGCGCCUUCCUUUUUGGUGGGUGUGGAUGAGUGGCGAACGGGUGAGUAACACGUGAGUAACCUGCCCCCUUCUUCUGGAUAACCGCAUGAAAGUGUGGCUAAUACGGGAUAUUCUGGGUCUGUCGCAUGAUGGGUCUGGGAAAGAUAUUGUUUCGGUGGGGGAUGGGCUCGCGGCCUAUCAGCUUGUUGGUGGGGUGAUGGCCUACCAAGGCGGUGACGGGUGGCCGGCCUGAGAGGGUGGACGGUCACACUGGGACUGAGACACGGCCCAGACUCCUACGGGAGGCAGCAGUGGGGAAUAUUGCACAAUGGGCGCAAGCCUGAUGCAGCGACGCCGCGUGAGGGAUGGAGGCCUUCGGGUUGUGAACCUCUUUCGCCAGUGAAGCAGGCCUGCCUCGUUUGUGGGUGGGUUGACGGUAGCUGGAUAAGAAGCGCCGGCUAACUACGUG
rnacentral:rRNA from 1 species